UGAAUUGAAGCCCCUCAUCAUCAUCAUCAUCAUCCUAAUCACUAUGAAGAUGAUAAAGUUUACAUGGUCGCGCUGCGGCCCCAUCCGCCAAUGGCGCCAUGCCAAAGGAUCAAGCUCAGCUCAUCACCACAUUUCUCGCCGUCGAAAGAGGGAUUGCCGUAGUUUGCGCAGCAGCAAACGCUGGCCCAUCCCCCGUACCCUGUGGAACGAGACACCGUGGAUAUUCACCGUCUGGUUGCCGCCUCCACCAUCCACCGCUAUUUCCAGUCGCAAGUCAUCUUUGGCGACAACACAGUCAUCAAGGUAUGUAGUCAACACAAACAACCUUAAACCAAAUUCUGCGAAACAAUGUAUGUAUUUCAAUGGUUAUAGCUAAAAGUCAGUGAAAAUUUGCAGUACUAUAUAUAUAUAUGUUAAUGUGGUGUUAAUUUGUUUCAGGGAUUGUUUGCCUGAGACGUUAAACCCUGUUAAGGCUAGUGGGAAAAUUAUUCUGAGCCAAACUAAUAUGUAUGAGUCUAAGUAUUCCUUAAUUAAAUGUAUGUUGAGAAUUCAUAAUAGAAUUAUAUUAAAAAAAAAAAAAAAAAGUAAUUUUAAAUGGCAAAUGCAUGAUGUUUACCGGGUUGAAUAUAGAUAACUGAAGAUUUGGUGGCCUCCUCUUCAGUAAUAGUUGAUCCAAGAAAUUCACCGAAAUUUAGGGAAAUCAUUCUUUUUUAUUUGGACACUAUGAAAAUUAUACCUAAGCCGCCUGUGCGUAUGACUUCUGUUUGUCUAACCAAUAAGGGUAUCCUCAAUAGUUGAAUUUUACCCCAAAUUUUUGUGGGUUUCAACAUCCACCUCAAAAUCUCCCCUUCCCAUUUGUGAAAAACUUGACAAAGAAAAUUAUACUAUUUCAAAAUCUUCCUAAAUUUUUGGAGUAAAAUCCCCAACUAUUGAUGAUGCCCUUAUUGGUUAGACAAACAGAAGUCAUACGCGCAGAUGGUUUAGAUAUAAUUUUCAUAGUCUCCAGACAAAAAAGACUGAUUUUCUUAAAUUUGGGUGAAUUUCUUGGAUCAACUAUUACUGAAGAGGAGGCCACCCAAAUCUUCAGUUAUCUAUAUUCAACCCGGUAAACAUCAUGCAUUUGCCAUUUAAAAUUACUUUUUUUUUUUUUUAAUAUAAUUCUAUUAUGAAUUCUCAACAUACAUUUAAUUAAUUUUUGUGAAUUAAGGAAUCUUGUUGCAAGAACUCUCCCCACAAUAACAGUAAUCGGGUCUAAACCAGCCCCGGUACUAAUAGACUUCUCAUCGCGGGGACCCUCUCUUGCUAGCGUAAAUCUUCUUAAACCAGACAUUUCUGCACCCGGCGUUGAUAUUUUGACUGAAACUCAAGUUUCAGUGUUUCUGUCAUCAGAUCUGCACUUAUGACCACAGAUAACAACCACAACGUACAAUUUUUUUUUUUCUUUUAAUUUUUCUGUGUAUAACACCCUGUAUGUGGACUAGUGGAAAGUAUAGAGUUAGAAGCCCAAUUGUUAUGGCUGUGUAAGGGAGUUAGAUUGCUAGACAUGUGAACUGAUUCAAAACGUACGUCCAAAAGACAUGUUAAACAUCAAUGAAUAUAUCUUUGUUGAAAGAUG